GGAUUAGAUACCCUGGUAGUCCACGCCGUAAACGAUGGAUACUAGCUGUUCGAUCAACACUGGUUGAUUGAGUGGUUAAGCGAAAGUGAUAAGUAUCCCACCUGGGGAGUACGCUCGCAAGACUAAAACUCAAAGGAAUUGACGGGACCCCGCACAAGCGGCGGAGCAUGCGGCUUAAUUCGAUGAUACCCGUAGAACCUUACCAGGGUUUAAAUGCAGAACGACAGGGGUGGAAACACCCCCUUCUUCGGACGGACUGCAAGGUGCUGCAUGGUUGUCGUCAGCUCGUGCCG
rnacentral:rRNA from 1 species